rfam:Plasmodiophora brassicae isolate e3 genome assembly, contig: scaffold_23
GGUCUCCCUUCGGGGAUGUACCACCCAAAAAAUUAGGAACAUAACAGAGAAGAUUAGCAUGGCCCCUGCGCAAGGAUGACACGCAUCAAACUGAGGAGGUCAACACUUUU